rnacentral:rRNA from 1 species
AGUGAACGCUGGCGGUAGGCCUAACACAUGCAAGUCGAACGGCAGCACAGUAAGAGCUUGCUCUUACGGGUGGCGAGUGGCGGACGGGUGAGGAAUACAUCGGAAUCUACUUUUUCGUGGGGGAUAACGUAGGGAAACUUACGCUAAUACCGCAUACGACCUACGGGUGAAAGCAGGGGAUCUUCGGACCUUGCGCGAUUGAAUGAGCCGAUGUGGGAUUAGCUAGUUGGCGGGGUAAAGGCCCACCAAGGCGACGAUCCGUAGCUGGUCUGAGAGGAUGGUCAGCCACACGGGAACGGAGACGCGGUCCAGACGCCUACGGGAGGCAGCAGUGGGGAAUAUUGGGCAAUGGGCGCAAGUCUGAUCCAGCCAGACCGCGUGGGUGAAGAAGGCCUUCGGGUUGUAAAGCCCUUUUGUUGGGAAAGAAAAGCAGCAGGUUAAUACCCCGCGGUUCUGACGGUACCCAAAGAAUAAGCACCGGCUAACUUCGUG